CCUACGGGCGGCUGCAGUGGGGAAUAUUGCACAAUGGGGGAAACCCUGAUGCAGCGACGCCGCGUGAGUGAAGAAGGAUUUCGGUACGUAAAGCUCUAUCAGCAGGGAAGAAAAUGACGGUACCUGAAUAAGCAGCGCCGGCUAACUACGGGCCAGCAGCCGCGGUAAUACGGAGGGGGCAAGCGUUAUCCGGAUUUACUGGGGGUAAAGGGAGCGGAGACGGCAGGGCAAGUCUGGAGUGAAAUCCCAUGGCUUAACCAUGGAACUGCUUUGGAAACUGUGCAGCUAGAGUGCAGGAGAGGGAAGCGGAAUUCCUGGUGUAGCGGUGAAAUGCGUAGAGAUUAGGAGGAAUACCAGUGGCGAAGGCGGCUUACUGGACUGUAACUGACGUUGAGGCGCGAAAGCGUGGGGAGCAAACAGGAUUAGAUACCCGAGUAGUC
rnacentral:rRNA from 1 species